rnacentral:rRNA from 1 species
GUUAAGUCAGAUGUGAAAGCCCGGGGCUCAACCUCGGAAUUGCAUUUUGAAACUGGCAGACUAGAGUACUGUAGAGGGGGUAGAAUUUCAGGUGUAGCGGUGAAAAUGCGUAGAGAUCUGAAGGAAUACCGGUGGCGAAGGCGGCCCCCCUGGACAGAUACUGACACUCAGAUGCGAAAGCGUGGGGGAGCAAACAGGAUUAGAUACCCCUGGUAG